rnacentral:tRNA from 1 species
UUUUCAGAGAAUUUUAUCGAAUUUUUUGAUUCGUCGUUCAU